rnacentral:rRNA from 1 species
GCGAACGCUGGCGGCGUGCUUAACACAUGCAAGUCGAACGGAAAGGCCCUGCUUGCAGGGUACUCGAGUGGCGAACGGGUGAGUAACACGUGGGUGAUCUGCCCUGCACUUCGGGAUAAGCCUGGGAAACUGGGUCUAAUACCGGAUAGGAGCCAUUUUUAGUGUGAUGGUUGGAAAGUUUUUUCGGUGUAGGAUGAGCUCGCGGCCUAUCAGCUUGUUGGUGGGGUAAUGGCCUACCAAGGCGGCGACGGGUAGCCGGCCUGAGAGGGUGGACGGCCACAUUGGGACUGAGAUACGGCCCAGACUCCUACGGGAGGCAGCAGUGGGGAAUAUUGCACAAUGGGCGCAAGCCUGAUGCAGCGACGCCGCGUGGGGGAUGACGGCCUUCGGGUUGUAAACUCCUUUCGCUAGGGACGAAGCUUUUUGUGACGGUACCUAGAUAAGAAGCACCGGCUAACUACGUG